ensembl:processed_transcript Rian RNA imprinted and accumulated in nucleus
GUUCACUUCAACCCCACGAUCCUAAGCACACCUGUACCUGCCCUGGAAUCCCUCAGCCAUGUUUGUCCCACAGAGCAUCACUAUCAAACAGUUCACUGUGGACUCCUCGUAGCAGAAGUACAGUAGGGGACAGCAAGUGUCAGCUCCAUCAGGACCCCUGAUUUAAUUAUUUACUGUGGAACCAUUGUCCUGAGUCAGGAGGAUAGAUGAGGAAAGAAUGAGAGCGUGGCUGGCAUCACUUCAUGAUUACAUUCUGGGAAAGAUCUUGCCUGUUAACCUCUAGAGAAGGAGGGACGAUACAGACAAUGAAGACUAUAGCAGACUGAAUUACUCUCUGAGAUGAGGACUUUGCUAUUGCCAUUGCAGAACCACUGGUGGAAGUUGUUGUUAAACAGUGGGUCUUGCAUGCAAGCUCUACAGUUAUGCACAGUAUUUCCAUGACAUCCCAAGCCAUGAGGUUCAUGCUGCCAUAUCCCCCUGUUUAACAAGUGUGGAAACUGAUAAUGGACUCACAAUUGCUGAUGUAUAGGUUCUAAUGUUUUCUAUUGUGGACACGGGACACCCAGACUGAGAACCAAUGGCUCCAGUCUGAUUUAAACAUGGGUCCGUGCUCACACACUCAAUACCUACCCUCUGUGCUCACAAGUCCUGUGUGAGUAAGACUCCAAAUUAUUCUGUCUUGUUUUACUCAAUGGUAUGCUCUACCUUAUUAUAGAGUAUACCAUGUAUUGAGACAAGAAUGCCAGUCAUUCUGAGAAACAAAAUGCAACCAUUAGUUGUCAUUUUAAUUAGUGACGAAUAGUUGUGUCAAUCAUCAAACAUGCUUGUAUAAUUGGAUGAGAAGAGGUGUAACACGGGCCAAUGAUGACGAGGUUUCGGGAUUAUAAGUCACGGACGAUGACUACGUCACUAGAGGUCUGAGGUCCAUAGCAGAAGAUGCCUCAUGUGACCCUCUCAUGCAGGGGUUGCAUGUCAGGCAUGUGCAUACA